UAGAGUUUGUUCAUGGCUCAGAACGAACGCUGGCGGCGUGCCUAACACAUGCAAGUCGAGCGCGAAUAGGGGCAACCCUUAGUAGAGCGGCGCACGGGUGCGUAACACGUGGAUAAUCUGCCUGGAUGCCUGGGAUAACCAGUCGAAAGAUUGGCUAAUACCGGAUAAGCCCACGGUUUCUUCGGAGACUGAGGGAAAAGGUGGCCUCUGUAUACAAGCUAUCACAACCAGAUGAGUCCGCGGCCCAUCAGCUAGUUGGCGGGGUAAUGGCCCACCAAGGCGACGACGGGUAGCUGGUCUGAGAGGACGAUCAGCCACACUGGAACUGAGACACGGUCCAGACUCCUACGGGAGGCAGCAGUGGGGAAUUUUGCGCAAUGGGCGAAAGCCUGACGCAGCAACGCCGCGUGUGUGAUGAAGGUCUUUGGAUUGUAAAGCACUUUCGACCGGGACGAAACCGUAAAGCCUAAUACGCUUUGCCUUGACGGUACCGGGAGAAGAAGCACCGGCUAACUCUGUGCCAGCAGCCGCGGUAAUACAGAGGGUGCAAGCGUUGUUCGGAAUUAUUGGGCGUAAAGCGCGUGUAGGCGGCUUUGCAAGUCGGGUGUGAAAGCCCUCAGCUCAACUGAGGAAGUGCGCCCGAAACUGCAGAGCUUGAGUGCCGGAGAGGGUGGCGGAAUUCCCCAAGUAGAGGUGAAAUUCGUAGAUAUGGGGAGGAACACCGGUGGCGAAGGCGGCCACCUGGACGGUAACUGACGCUGAGACGCGAAAGCGUGGGUAGCAAACAGGAUUAGAUACCCUGGUAGUCCACGCCGUAAACGAUGAGAACUAGGUGUCGUGGGAGUUGACCCCCGCGGUGCCGUAGCUAACGCAUUAAGUUCUCCGCCUGGGAAGUACGGUCGCAAGACUAAAACUC
rnacentral:rRNA from 1 species